ACACGUCAUCGUGUGACCUGAACGUCAUCCAUCACUGGAGCUAGAGAGUGGAUUAACGGAGCCAACUAAACCCUUCACCCUGACAAAGAACUGGCGGGAGAACUAUAGAAACUCAUCCAAAAUUUUACCAACAUGAAUGCGGAGUAAUAGGGCCACGGAUGCUCCCGCUGUUCCGCUGCUUCGCUCCCUGCACUGAGAGGAGCAGUGCUGUGCUUCACAGCAGAACCUCCAAAGGAUGUGACGCUACAUGAGAUGAAACAUGGGGAGGAUGCAGCCUCCUGCUUCACACACCUUGGUGAAUCUCUAACAUGCCAUGGAGAAAUUUCCAGAUGAUCUUUAUCACCGGGUAUCAAUAGAGUCCUGCCAGCCCCUCAUGUGUCGCAGAGUGCAUGAAGACAGGGAGGUGUAAGGGGAAGCCAUGACCGCUGCUUGAUUAAAAUAUUCUGCUUUCCAGCCUGGCUCGUACAGGAUCCCCAGUCUGGCUCAGAGCAGAACCACAGCAGAGCAGUUUUGCUCUGAGCUGGUCCCAUUGCUCGCCCAAGCAGGAUGAUUUGCAAAUCCAUCUUAAUAGUUUAAAAAUUAGAGAUCAACCGUUUUGCACAAGUUGUGAUUUUAAAGGUGAAGGAUAUUUCCCAUACCUAUGUCAAUAGACACAUCAGGAUUAUGCUCUUCCUCCUUCAUCAGAUGUUCCAAGCUGUGCAAAACCCAUUGCCAACCGCAGAACUAAUUGGCUGAUAGUGAAAGAAGCUCUUAAGCAAUAAGAACCCCAUACAAGCAGAAGGAGAGCAUUUUAACUGUGGUUUGCGCUGAGAUGGAGCACCCAACCCUCAGGCUGCCGGAGAAGAGAGAUGUGGAAAAAUGGUUUCCAAGACAGAAAUGAGAGCCCACCAGUGCUGGGCUGCCGGCAGCAGUAACAGAGGAGGACAAACCCGAAUCUGUUCAGAACACGUACCAAGAAAUAGUGGGAACAAUAAGUGAAUAACAA
ensembl:lncRNA